AAUUUCCCCCCUCCUCCACUGUUUCGGACAUCGCAAUCUAAAUCCAACACCCACAUAUUAAUUUCAGGAAGAUGCAAGUUGGACAGGCACAGAGCCAGAGACACUUAAUUACCGAAGCAAGAAGAGUAGCAACGCCACAGACAAACUGAAAUGUUUUGAUACCGUAACUCUUUGGGAAUGCCACUUUAAAACUUGGUUGUAUCGACGCAUUGCAUUCUAUGUAACUCGUACUACCCCUUCUGGACUGUAUGAUGGACUGGACGGUUAGCAGUCGGGCCCUAUUGUGGUGCAUUUUCACCUUACUGUGUAGUAUUGACCCACUUCAAAUGAGUUUCUGCCACGCCAGCACCGUCUCCCUCCCGAAAGCCUGCUCUUUGUGUCCACCCUGGAUGGAACCUACACGCGCAGCAAGAAAUCAGGCUCUAUCAAAUGGACGCUGAAAGAGGAUCCUGUUCUGCAGGUUCCAACGCAUGUGGCAGAGCCAGCUUUUCUGCCUGACCCUAACGAUGGCAGRCUGUACUCUCUAGGAGGGAAGAACAACGAGGGACUGACUGUAAGAGGAACCACUGAACCCCCUUAUUAAACUAACAGGUUCACCCAUCACUAGAGGAACCACUGAACCCCCU